rnacentral:tRNA from 1 species
GUGUAUCCAAGUGGUUAAAGGAGGUAGAUUGUAAAUUUAUUGAGUUUUUCUCUUCGUGGGUUCGAAUCCCACCG